GAUGAACGCUGGCGGCGUGCCUAAUACAUGCAAGUAGAACGCUGAAGGAAGGAGCUUGCUCUUUCCGGAUGAGUUGCGAACGGGUGAGUAACGCGUAGGUAACCUGCCUGGUAGCGGGGGAUAACUAUUGGAAACGAUAGCUAAUACCGCAUAACAGUAGAUGUUGCAUGAUAUCUACUUAAAAGGUGCAAUUGCACCACUACCAGAUGGACCUGCGUUGUAUUAGCUAGUUGGUGAGGUAACGGCUCACCAAGGCGACGAUACAUAGCCGACCUGAGAGGGUGAUCGGCCACACUGGGACUGACACACGGCCCAGACUCCUACGGGAGGCAGGAGUAGGAAAUCUGCGGCAAGAGACGGAAGUCUGACCGAGCAACGGCGCGUGAGUAGAGGAGGUUUGCGUAGUGUAAAGCUGUGUUGUAAGAAGAGAACGAGUGAGAGUGGAAAGUUCACACUGUGACGGUAUCUUACCAGAAAGGGACGGCUAACUACGUG
rnacentral:rRNA from 1 species